UUCGAUUUUGUUAUUUUGACAAAUGCUUGCGUUUUUUAAAGUCGAGACUUCUUCAUUGUAAAACGUUGGUUGAUUUUGGUAUUUUAUUUGGUUUUUGAUAGUUGACUUAAUAGUCUGCUGCGGUGUAGGACUCCGUGGAGUUUGUUGCUUGUUGCUUACCAUUAACCUCGAAGGAAUUGGCAGUGAAAUGGCAGUGCAAUAUCUGGGGAUUGUCUUUGUGAUUGUGUUAUCAUCUAAUUCUUAAAUAGUUGACUUAAUAGUCUACUGUGCUGUAGGACUCCUUGGACUUUGUUGUUUGCUGCUUACCAUUACCUAGAACGAAUUUGCCGUCAAAUGGCAGUGCAAUAACUGGGGAUCGUCUCUUUGAUUGUGUCAGCAUCUAAUUGUUAAAUAGUUGACUUAAUAGUCUACUGUGCUGUAGGACUCCUUGGACUUUGUUGUUUGCUGCUUACCAUUACCUAGAACGAAUUUGCCGUCAAAUGGCAGUGCAAUAACUGGGGAUCGUCUCUUUGAUUGUGUCAGCAUCUAAUUGUUAAAUAGUUGACUUAAUAGUCUACUGUGCUGUAGGACUUCUUGGACUUUGUUGUUUGCUGCUUACCAUUACCUAGAACGAAUUUGCCGUCAAAUGGCAGUGCAAUAUCUGGGGAUCGUCUCUGUGAUUGUGUAAGCAUCUAAUUGUUAACAUAGAAGUAGUGGUCGUUUAAAAUGGCGCUACCUAAUCAGCGAGGAAUAAGCGGGAAUUAACAAGGAAAAGUGCGGGAAGGCAGUCUCCCGUUGUCGUCGUUGUUAGUCAGUCGUGUCGUUGUCUUAUGCCUUGUUCUCGUUUGUGUAUAUUACUGUUAGUCGUCCAUACUUGUAAAUAUUGUAUAUUGUGUAAAUAAACUGUUUAAACCA
rnacentral:lncRNA from 1 species